rnacentral:rRNA from 1 species
CCUACGGGAGGCAGCAGUGAGGAAUAUUGGUCAAUGGGCGCAAGCCUGAACCAGCCAAGUAGCGUGAAGGAAGAAGGACCUACGGUUUGUAAACUUCUUUUAUAGGGGAAUAAAGGUAGGCACGUGUGGCUUUUUGUAUUUAUUUUAUGGAUAAGGAUCGGCUAACUCCGUGCCAGCAGCCGCGGUAAUACGGAGGAGGCGAUGGUUAUCCUGAUUUAUUGGGUUUAAAGGGAGCGUAGAUGGGUUGUUAAGUCAGCUGUGAAAGUUUGUGGCUCAACCUUAAAAUUGCAAUUGAUACUGGUAGACUAGAGUAUAGUUGAGGUAGGCAGAAUUCGUGGUGUAGCGGUGAAAUGCGUAGAGAUCACGAAGAACUCCGAUUGCGAAGGCAGCUUACUAAACCGAGACUGACAUUGAGGCGCGAAAGCGUGGGUAUCAAACAGGAUUAGAUACCCGUGUAGUC